GUACUGUAGCAAUGAACAUUCUCACAACACUGUCAUACCUAAUAUACUAAUUAGUCCUCUACAAACCCAUGACGGCAAGCAUACUUUUUUUGCUUAAGUCACAUGAAUGUCUGCAUUGUGUAAUAUCCUUCCUACCCUUAAGUUACUGACUUUCUGUUUCCUCCCAGCUGACCUCUUGAGAAUUCAGUUGCCUGUGGUACCUUGUUGUAGUAAAUUAGAGCUAACUGGGGGGAAGUGGCUUGGACAAAACAUCUCUCAAGCAAGUCUCAAGCAGGAUCUGGAAGACUGGAAGAAAUAGCUGGGAGCGAGAAGGAGAUCAGGAGCUCACUUCCUCCACAACGUUUCUCUGCUGAAGUCUAGGAUGGCCAAUUGUGGGUCAUGUUUCUGGUGCAUCAUCUGGCUGGUGGUUCUGCUGUGCAUUGGCUGGCCCCUCAGCAUCACCUUAGGGGGUCUCUAUGGCCUCAUCAGCCCCCUCACCACCUGCCUCGGCUUGGACCGACUCUCCGAUCUACUCUUGGAGGGUGCCAACCUGGGCCGAACAUGUGCCAAUAACAUGAGACACUGCAAGCCUUUGUGUUGAGAUCCAUCUUGAGUGACUAAGCUCAAACAACUGCAGGCUACAGAUGAUGGCCCUCACGAGAACUGUUAAAUGUCUGCUUUAUGUGGGGAUAUCCUGAGAUGAUUGGCACUCAUACAGUGAGAAACUUUUAAGCAAGUGAUGUAACAAAAAGGUCCGAAAGGUCUGGAAAAUGGGUUCUACUCGUUCUGUUAACAUGUAAUUAACCAUGGAUUUCAAAUUUGUAUGGGUUUGUCAGGAAGGAAAUAGGCUUUGUGUUCAUGGUCUGUGUUUGCUGUUUAAUUCAUGAUGACACUGCAAGGAGAAGAUAAGAAUGAAAAUGGCAAUUUAACAAUGGAAAUGCUUAGACUUGUAAAUGACUGUAUGGAAACUUUUAAUGCGAUUAAAACUGCUUUGAACUUGC